rnacentral:rRNA from 1 species
GACGAACGCUGGCGGCGUGCUUAACACAUGCAAGUCGAACGGAAAGGCCCUGCUUUUGUGGGGUGCUCGAGUGGCGAACGGGUGAGUAACACGUGAGUAACCUGCCCUUGACUUUGGGAUAACUUCAGGAAACUGGGGCUAAUACCGGAUAGGAGCUCCUGCUGCAUGGUGGGGGUUGGAAAGUUUCGGCGGUUGGGGAUGGACUCGCGGCUUAUCAGCUUGUUGGUGGGGUAGUGGCUUACCAAGGCUUUGACGGGUAGCCGGCCUGAGAGGGUGACCGGCCACAUUGGGACUGGGAUACGGCCCAGACUCCUACGGGAGGCAGCAGUGGGGAAUAUUGCACAAUGGGCGGAAGCCUGAUGCAGCAACGCCGCGUGCGGGAUGACGGCCUUCGGGUUGUAAACCGCUUUCGCCUGUGACGAAGCGUGAGUAACGGUAAUGGGUAAAGAAGCACCGGCUAACUACGUG